rnacentral:rRNA from 1 species
AGGGAAUCUUCCACAAUGGACGCAAGUCUGAUGGAGCAACGCCGCGUGAGUGAAGAAGGUUUUCGGACCGUAAAGCUCUGUUGUUGGUGAAGAAGGAUAGAGGUAGUAACUGGCCUUUAUUUGACGGUAAUCAACCAGAAAGUCACGGCUAACUACGUGCCAGCAGCCGCGGUAAUACGUAGGUGGCAAGCGUUGUCCGGAUUUAUUGGGCGUAAAGCGAGCGCAGGCGGAAGAAUAAGUCUGAUGUGAAAGCCCUCGGCUUAACCGAGGAAUUGCAUCGGAAACUGUUUUUCUUGAGUGCAGAAGAGGAGAGUAGAACUCCAUGUGUAGCGGUGGAAUGCGUAGAUAUAUGGAAGAAUACCAGUGGCGAAGGCGGCUCUCUGGUCUGCAACUGACGCUGAGGCUCGAAAGCAUGGGUAGCGAACAGGAUUAGAUACCCUGGUAGUCCA